ACGAACGCUGGCGGCAUGCCUUACACAUGCAAGUUGAACGCGAAAGUGUCUUCGGACAUUAGUAGAGUGGCAAACGGGUGAGUAACGCGUGGGAAUCUACCUUUAGGUGCGGAAUAGCCUCGGGAAACUGGGAUUAAUACCGCAUGAUGUCUUCGGACUAAAGAUUUAUCGCCUAAAGAUGAGCCCGCGUCAGAUUAGCUAGUUGGUGGGGUAAAAGCCUACCAAGGCAACGAUCUGUAGCUGGUCUGAGAGGACGAUCAGCCACAUUGGGACUGAGACACGGCCCAAACUCCUACGGGAGGCAGCAGUGGGGAAUAUUGGACAAUGGACGAAAGUCUGAUCCAGCAAUGCCGCGUGAAUGAUGAAGGCCUUAGGGUUGUAAAGUUCUUUAAGUGGGGAAGAUAAUGACGGUACCCACAGAAUAAGCACCGGCUAACUCCGU
rnacentral:rRNA from 1 species